AGUGAACGCUGGCGGUAGGCCUAACACAUGCAAGUCGAACGGCAGCACAGGAGAGCUUGCUCUCUGGGUGGCGAGUGGCGGACGGGUGAGGAAUACAUCGGAAUCUACUUUUUCGUGGGGGAUAACGUAGGGAAACUUACGCUAAUACCGCAUACGACCUACGGGUGAAAGCAGGGGAUCUUCGGACCUUGCGCGAUUGAAUGAGCCGAUGUCGGAUUAGCUAGUUGGCGGGGUAAAGGCCCACCAAGGCGACGAUCCGUAGCUGGUCUGUGAGGAUGAUCAGCCAAACUGGAACGGAGACACGGUCCAGCCUCCUACGGGAGGCAGCAGUGGGGAAUAUUGGACAAUGGGCGCAAGCCUGAUCCAGCCAUACCGCGUGGGUGAAGAAGGCCUUCGGGUUGUAAAGCCCUUUUGUUGGGAAAGAAAUCCAGCUGGUUAAUACCCGGUUGGGAUGACGGUACCCAAAGAAUAAGCACCGGCUAACUUCGUGCCAGCAGCCGCGGUAA
rnacentral:rRNA from 1 species